rnacentral:lncRNA from 1 species
CCUGAAACCGGCAUCCACAAGGACAGAGACAGUAAAAGCUGGUGUAUGUGUUUAGUUGUACAAAUCAGCAAGUUAUUUAAGGUGAGAGAUGCCUUUAACAUUUACAAAUUAGAAGCAUUUUCUCCUGUAAUCCAGUUCAGAGGAAGUGUGAUUCACACUGAUCUUCCCUGAUGUUUCGUCCCGGCACUGGAUACAUGCUGGUUGGUGAGCUGCUAGUCUUUGAACAGUUAACUCAGGAGAAAAUGGAAUGAGAAAAAAAGAACAAUGCUGAAAACGCUGGAGAUGGUCAUGGGUGCAAACACUUCAGUGCAAAAGACUGAAGAAAAAGGAGUCCGAUGUAAUAAUCCUGCGGCCAGCUACAAUAUGCCAUUCUUCUGCACCUUGGUCAGUGGGACAGAUCCCUGGGCUCCUCCAGGGGAGAAGGAGGAGAAAACUUCUUUCCCACUUGGGACAUGGUUACGGCUGGGUUUUGCAGCUCUCACUAUCUCCCCUGCAGGGAUGGCCUGGAUCCUGCCAUGUAAAUCAAAGAAGAGAGGGCCUGACUCAGCUGCCUAGCCUGCGUCACCUGGAACCCAUUAUGAUACAGGAUCAUAAACACCUCCAUUUUCCCUCCAGAGAGAGACCAGACCCACUGAAGUUAAGCUACCUGCAUAAGAGUUGAGUGCGAUCAGCUGUACUUAAUCUUUAAAUGUCCAACCCACUGAUAACCUUUGGUUUGCUUUGAUAACUGUGAAAUAAAUUCUCACUGCAUCGGAUGCCGGCAUUCUGGUUUCUAUUCAAGGCUGUGGUGCAGAUGUCAUGGAAUCUUGGACUGGACAACAGUCCUUGGAGAUCUCUGGGGCCAGUUACUGGCUUUUAGGCAUUUAAUUUCUAAGCCUCCCUCUGCCAACUCUAAAUUUCUUCGGGGAAUGCCAUGGCAUUUGUGCAUCACCAAGCUUUAGGUGCUCUCUGGGGUGAGAACCAUUUGGAGGUGGGAGAAAUGGGAGAAAAAGAAAGACCCAGCAAAUUCAAAGCUUCACAACAUGGUAUAACAGGAAGAACACUGUCUAAGUUUCAAGCAUCUUGGGUUUGAAUCCAACUCUUCUGUUCUCACCCUGCCUCAGCUUCCUAGCCAUGCAAUCUUGGGAAAAGGAUGUUAGCUCUUUUGCCCUUAGUUUUUCUCUUCUGUAAAGUGAAUGGGAAUGGUCAG